ACUAAUAGCUCGAUUGAUUUACUUUGCUGUGAGAU
rnacentral:rRNA from 1 species